UACACAUAAUUGAAUUUAUCAGUAAAAUGUCUGUCUUUCAUGAAGCUGCACUUCUAGCUAGUUUGCCUUCUACAGGACUACUUAUAUUUCUAAGUACAUAGGCAGCAACUGCUCUGAAAUUAUAAGUAACCUUACAUACUAGCAUUGAUCCUGGAUUUAAUGGCACCUGAAUUUAAUAUUUCUAAGUACAUAUCCAGUAUAAAAUUAGCAAUCACGGAUAAUAUUUUCUUAGUAAUCACAGUGUGUCUCUUAAUACAUAGAGUGGACAUAAAUAGCAAAGCCUCUAUCCUACACGUAGAAGGGACUUGCUUUAUGAAUUUAUCAGUAAUCUUAGAUACAAAACCUUUAAUAUGGCCGAUUUAUUGGCACCUGCAUUUAUCAGUAACCAAUAAUAUUUUCUUAGUAAUGCUAGUAAGUAGAAUAUAUAUUUAAGUUUGAUAAUGAUGCAUUAUAUAGUACUAACAUAUGAAUUUAAUUUUUAUAGGAUGAAAUCGUUCAAGUCAAACAAGCAAACCCUUCACUUUUAGACAUUGAGAUAAUUGAGAAAAUUUAGGGGAAACAAUCUCAUGACCACAUUACUGUAUUUUGUGGCGGGACAACUUUGAAAGAUCUAAGAGGACCGCUCCCUAGUCGAUCUGAUCUGGAAGCACGGGUUAUAGAAGAAAAGAAAAAGAAUCAGACGCUUCAAUAACGCUUAAAUGAGUAGGGGCAACAACAACAUCAACAACAACAAAGGAUGUCAGACUUAUAGAGUCACAAGUUAAAGCAAUGCAUGAACUUUUUUUAAGGCAACAAUUUAAUACUUCAUUGACUCCUCAAACUUGAGAACAUGUGCAUAACUAGGAAAUCCACCUGAUGUGGCACAAAUGUUUCAUUAAACUCGAAAGAAAGCUAAUGAAACACUAGAUAUUGGGGAUCAAGAUAAAUAUGAUGAAACUGUUCAAGUCAAACAAGCAAACCCUUCACUUUCUGACAUUGAGAUAGUUGAGAAAAUUUGGGGAAAGCAAUCUCAUGAUCACAUCACUGUAUUUGGUGGCGGGACUACUUUAAAAGAUUUGAGAGGACUGCUCCCUAGUCGAUCUGAUCUGGAAGCACAGGUUAUAGAAGAAAAGAGAAAGAACCAGAUGCUUUAACAACGCUUAGAUGAGCAGGAGCAACAACAACAAAUGAUGUCUGAGUUGGACUCACAAGUGAAAGCUAUGCAAGAACUUUUUUUUAGGCAAUCACCUUCAUUGACUCCUCAAACUCGAGAACGUGUGCAG